UACGUAGGGGGCAAGCGUUGUCCGGAAUCAUUGGGCGUAAAGCGCGCGUAGGCGGCCCUGUAAGUCCGUUGUGAAAGUCAAAGGCUCAACCUUUGAAAGCCGAUGGAUACUGCAGGGCUAGAGUCCGGAAGAGGCGAGUGGAAUUCCUGGUGUAGUGGUGGAAUGCGCAGAUAUCAGGAGGAACACCAAUAGCGAAGGCAGCUCGCUGGGACGGUACUGACGCUAAGGCGCGAAAGCGUGGGGAGCAAACAGG
rnacentral:rRNA from 1 species